rnacentral:lncRNA from 1 species
CUAGGCUCAAGUGAUUCCGCCCACCUCUGCCUCCCAAAGUGCUGGGAUUACGGGCAUGAGCCAGCGCAUCUGGCCACCUUAUUUUCUAUUACUGGCUCAAUGUAAUGGCUCCAUCUCAGGAACAGCCAAUGAAAGAGAUGCACAGGACAAGAAACAGGACCUUGCCCUGUCACUCAGGAUGGAGUUCAGUGGUCCUAUCAUGGCUCAUUAUAGCCUCAAACUCCCAGGCUCAAGCAAUCCUACCAUGUCAGCCUUCCCAGUAGCUGGGACUACAGGUCUCACACUGUCACCCAGGCUGGAGUACAGUGGCACAACCUCUGCUCACUGCAGCCUCCACCUGCCAGGCUCAAGCAAUUCUCCUGCCUCAGCCUCCCGAGUAGCUGGGAUUACAGGAAGUGAGCUCACAAUGACUCAAGCUGCCACAUACUGUUGAUUGUGAAAUGCCAGUUGAAGCAUAUGUCCUGCGAGCUUAGGGGUGCUACAAGUUGACCACUGCAGCAGUAAAGAUGACUCUGAAGAAUGGCGUGGGUUGGUUCCUUUCAAAUGCACUUGAGCAGUGGUCUCCAACCACAGGGCCACAGAGCUGGAGGUGAGCAGCAGCUGGAUCUACCAUGAAAGACUUGUGAAUCCAGGAAGAGAGACUGACUGGGCAACAUGUUAUUCAGGGUCUCCCUCUGUUGUCCAAGGCUGGAGUGUAGUAGUGCUAUCGCAGCUGACUGCAGCCUCAACCUUCCAGGCUGAAGCGAUCCUCCCACCUCAACCUCCCACGUGGCUGAGACUACAGGUGCUUGCCACUAUGCCCAACUAACAUUUGGAAUUUUCGUAUACGUGGAUUCCAGAGGGGUGACAGCGAAACGUGGGACCAUCCAGUUGCAGGAAAACAAGCUUAACACGCCCACUAAUUCUACAUUAUGCUCCUACCUCCCGGCAGCCUCUCCAGGCCCAGAACUUUCUCCAGUCAGCCUCUACAGACCAAGCUCAUGACUCACAAU